GCUGCAGGUGACACAUUCGCUGUCUCAUGGUUGUGACAGAGGAAAGUCCGGACAGCAAAGAGCGCCGCACCACCUAACGGGUGGUUCAGAUACUGAUUGUUCAGUAACUGGAAGAGAGUGCCACAGAAAAUUACCGCUUCUAUAACUCGGAGUAAGGGUGAAAAUGUGAGGUAAGAGCUCACGAUCCGAUUCAGCAAUGAACCGGAGGGGUAUACCUUGCGGGCUGUAAGGUCAAAUAUACUUCGGUCGGUUUGCUGUUUCAGCAAUCGAUAAGGCUGCUCGUUUUAUUCAUGCACGUUCAUGAUCCGAAGGUGGGUAGACCGCUUGAUCCUUGAUGGCAACAUCAGGACCAGAUAAAUGAAUGUGGAGAUUUCAUAACUGGAAUCUCAGUUUACAGAAUCCGGCUUAUGAUCCUGCAGCAUUU
rnacentral:RNase_P_RNA from 1 species